UAUGUGAUCGUCUCUCGCAUAUCAAUAAGCGGAGGAAAAGAAACUAACAAGGAUUCCCCUAGUAACGGCGAGUGAAGCGGGAAGAGCUCAAAUUUGAAAUCUUAAAGGGUUUCCCUUUACGAAUUGUAGUUUAAAGAAGUGUUUUCUGUUGAGGUUUUGGUAAAAGUUCUUUGGAAUAGGACAUCAUAGAGGGUGAGAAUCCCGUAUUUGACCUUUACUUUCAACUUUGUGAUACACUUUCAAAGAGUCGGACUGUUUGGGAAUGCAGUCCAAAAUGGGUGGUAAAUUUCAUCUAAAGCUAAAUAUUGGCGAGAGACCGAUAGCGAACAAGUACCGUGAGGGAAAGAUGAAAAGAACUUUGAAAAGAGAGUUAAACAGUACGUGAAAUUGUCAAAAGGGAAGCGUUUGACACCAGUGUUGUUUUUCUGAAAAUCAAUUAAAGAACUGUUUAUGCUAAGUUGUUUAGACUUUAUCAGCUAACUGUUUAGUUUUGAGCUUUUCUUUAAUGCACUUUUCAGUUAACAAGUCAACAUCAAUUUCUUUUGCUGUAAAAAAGCUUGAGGAAGGUGGCUUGAGAUUCGUCCUUAAGUGUUUAUAGCCUCUUGCCUAUGCAGUCGGAGAGAUUGAGGUCUGCAGCGUAGAUCCUUCGGGGCUAAAUGCAUUUGUGCUAAGUUAUAGCAUUUUAUAGACAACUUGUUGACUAUGAUUUGUCUUGUAGCUUACUCGCUUAUGUUAUUUUACCUACGCUUAGGAUGUUGAUAUGCAUGACUGAUAU
rnacentral:rRNA from 1 species